rnacentral:rRNA from 1 species
UACGGAGGAUGCAAGCGUUAUCCGGAAUGAUUGGGCGUAAAGCGUCCGCAGGUGGCAAUGUAAGUCUGCUGUCAAAGCGUCUGGCUCAACCAGAUAAAGGCAGUGGAAACUACAUAGCUAGAGUAAGGUAGGGGUAGAGGGAAUUCCUGGUGUAGCGGUGAAAUGCGUAGAGAUCAGGAAAAACACCGGUGGCGAAAGCGCUCUGCUGGACCUUAACUGACACUGAGGGACGAAAGCUAGGGGAGCGAACGGG